ensembl:processed_transcript B230216N24Rik RIKEN cDNA B230216N24 gene
AUCCCACAAUAAAGCCCCUCUCCUGUUGCUCUCCUGCCAGUGUGAUUAGCAAUGGAGGUCUUUGACCCAGGCAGUCACCGCUCUCAAGGAACAAGUGUCCAUGAAGAAGCAGCCUGAGCUGUUAGGCAUCUGCCUUUGCUCAAGACAUCCUCUGCCUACCCUGGCAGUUACCCUGGAUGGUUUUGCUGUCGUGAUUAAAACACAGAUGGAGCUCAUCCCUUCCCUGGGUGUUUGAUUGGCAGACUCUCUGUGAUCAGCACUCUUCUCUGGUGAACACAUCAGCGCCAUCUGCCUUCUGUCUGCCUGGAGAGACUUGCCACAGUAGAGCUUCCUCAGCCUCACAUGAACCGCUGCAAAGGAUGUGCGCUCCUUUUGCUGAAGCCGUCAAAUAAAAAAGCUUUUUCAUGAAAAGCUAAAUAGAAUACAUGAAGAUUUUCACGACAGUAGGCUUCCGGAUUAAUGAAAUAUUCAUUUAAAUUGGACUUGGAGGAUAUGUCACUUCUUUUCUUUGAUUAAAAUAUUUAGAGCAUAACACAAAAUCACUGUGUCUUGAAAAAGCCAAACUUCAAGGAAAUUCAGCUGAUGGGGCAUCUUGUUUUCAGUGAGGUUGUUAAAGAUGAUUUUUCCAACCAGGGUCAGGUGCUUGGAACCGUUAGGUGAAUGCUAGGCAUGGUGGGAGUCCUCUUGUGUGCUUAAGAGUUUAAGAGAUCGAACCCAAUAGAUAGUAAGCUUCUUUCAAAGAGAAUGCUAAUUUUAAUGUUUUUAUGACUUAAAUAGAUUGUAAUAAGUUAUUACUUCCUAAUUUAGAUGUUGGUAUGACGACUGGGCAGACGCAUGUUCUUGUUCCACAUCAACAUUGUAUGACUGCAGAGUGUAGCCUGAGUGCUUAGGAAAGGGUACUUUUACGAUAUUGGAAGACUGGACAUCGUGACAUUAGGAGGAGGGAGGGGGUUACUGGGCUGUUCUAAAAUUAGCAAUGUGAAGAGCUGGUUCAAACUUAAUUGCCUAGGUGUGGAAGAAAUAUACAUGUAUUGUGCUUAAUAAUGUGAAUUAUCUGUAUCAUUAAAUAACAGGAAACCCGUUUGAGUUUCUUCUUCCUGUCCAAAUAAAUAAAUAAAUAAAUAAAUAUAAUUAAC